CUCUACUAUUAUCUAGUAUUACUAUAUUUUUCCAUUAACAUAAAAAAGCAUAUUCUUUCUCAUUUUUAUUGAAUAAAUAAAAGUAAUAAAUAAGCAAAAUUUUCAUUUUUAUCUAUUUUCAAUUGAAUUUAAAUUGUAAAAAAAAAAAACUUCAUAAAAGAUUAGGAAAAGUAAAAGUAUAUGAUAUAGAAACCUAUAAUAUAAAUGAAUACAAAUAAAAACAAACAAAUCGAACCAAACUAUAAAAAGUACUUGUUAUUUUUAAAGUUUAAAGAAACUAUGUAAGGCAAAUAGUACUAAAUAAAAAAAAAGGAGCAAUAACGCCCUCUUGUUUUAUCAAGAGGGAAGCUAUUGCUCCUUUUUUAGUUCAAAAACUCCUAUACAAUCAGACCAAAGUC
rnacentral:misc_RNA from 2 species